rnacentral:lncRNA from 9 species
CAAAUAAUCAUAUAAAUGGUUGUCAAUAUUAUUUUGCUUUAUUUGUACUUUUUUUCCUUUUACUUUUAGUAAAAAAAAAAAAAAAGGAGGGAGAUGGGGACAGAGUAGCCAUUUUGCAUAAUGUCUUCCAAAUACUUCCUUGAAUCAUACAGACCAAUUGGGAUGGUUAAAAAAAAACUCACGGAAUGGGUGAUACUUGUGGCAGUAUUGUGUUAAAUAAGUUUAGUUAAGUUUAAAUUAUAUUUGCCAAAAUGUCCUCCCUGCAGAAUAUGUCUAGGCCAUAUUUGUAUGAUAUCUGAAACUCAGAGGUGAAAUAGCUUUAUUCUUGUUCUACUCAUCAGGUUGGAGGAAAGCAUGAGGACUCCAUUCAUCCUCAAAUUACCAAUUUGUCAUUCCUUAUCUCUUUUCAUUUCCACCUUUCCUUCCCAACCACCUGUCUGCUUACUUCAGGCUGCCACAGACACAAAGGAAAUGGUCAUGGAUUGUUUAGCCUGUUUCCACAAUUGUCUAAAUCAAAUCUGCAUAAUAUAUAAUAUGUUCUUAUUGCAUGAAACUUCUCAUGGUUCUACCUCUCUGAUCAAAACAUGACUGAUGUUAGAUCUUUGACAAAAUUUGGUGAUAGGAAUGGUUAGAAAAUUCCAUGACAUGAUCAGGAGCAACCAGACUACCAACUGCUAGAGCUGACACACAGUAGGCAGAUAUAUAACUUUGUUGUCAAAUUAAAAAACAUGUUUCACAAUACAAUGCAAGCUAAUAAAUGUAGAUGAAAGCAUAGACAACGAAAAUCCCAGUUUUCCAAGAGCUAAUGAAAUAAUUGAUUCUAAUAAAGAUCAAUAAUUGUUGAAAAUAUUAGCUGAAAUAUUAAGGAAGGAAGAAUAUAUGAGUAAGUGGGAGAUUGCUGUCAUCACCUCCACUUGUAGGUCACCGAGAGGGAAAACAAGACCUAUAUGCCCCCUUAAUAUGAUGAAAUAUGAAGUUCACAACACCAGCCAUAAUGUAUUAUUUUACAAAACAUUAAGUCUAAAUUGAAAAAAGACUUUAAACCCAAAUUCAGGUUAAUAAGAAUGGGGGAAAUAGAAGAACAUGUAAAGGAUUAUCAUAAUGAAAAAAAAGUUUAGAAUGUCAGACAUUCUUUGAAUAACUGACACAAUUUCCCCAAUGAAUCGAAGUUAAGGAAUGGAAAACACUUAAGAGUUGUUUAACUGAAAGCAUUAUAUGCACUUCAUUUGGAAACUGAUUUGAAUAAACAAACCUAAAAGAAUAACAGAUUUGAGAUUACUAAGAAAUUUUGAUUAUUAAUGAAUGAAAGAUUAUCGUUAAUCUUUCAGUUUAAGUUUUAUUAUUGUGCUUAUCAAAGAAUGAUUUUAAUAGGUACAUAAUGGAAUAUGUAAGGGGAAUAACAUGAGGUCUGAGAUUAAG